rnacentral:rRNA from 1 species
UACAGAGGGUGCGAGCGUUGUUCGGAAUCACUGGGCGUAAAGGGCGUGUAGGCGGUCCGUUAUGUCUGAUGUGAAAGCCCGGGGCUCACCCCCGGAAGGGCAUUGGAAACUGACGGACUCGAGUCCCGGAGAGGAAGGUGGAAUUCCUGGUGUAGCGGUGAAAUGCGUAGAUAUCAGGAGGAACAUCGGAGGCGAAGGCGGCCUUCUGGACGGUGACUGACGCUGAGACGCGAAAGCGUGGGGAGCAAACAGG